GGCCGCGCCCGGGUCGCGCACGCGCCCUGACGGAGUCCCAGCAAGCGCGGGCCCGUCUUCCUCGCGUCUCCUCGGGGAGCGUCGUCGCCGCCACCCUGGGCGCUGAGAGCUUGCGGAGCCGAGCCGCUGUCGAGUCCCAGCGGAAAGAAGCCCAAGGUGCCGGAGAAGCCCGGUCGUGGACGUUGUUGCUCCCUCAUCUUCGAGACCCGCACGCCCUGCGGAGAGGAAAUGACAGGCACGCCGCGACCGUGGGGCGGGGCUCGCACGAGCUCCGGGUUUCCAGAGGCAGGGGCCGGGGCCGUAGAAGGCAGAGUCGCGCGGGGAAGGCCCGGUACCCCGCCCCUUCCGCACCGACCCCUCCCCCGCGGAGCUGGCCCCGGCCCCGGGCCUGUGGAGUGGACGCCGAGGGCGGCGGGCGGCUUCCGAGUUGGACAGAACGGGAGCUGCCGGCGGGAGCAGAGCUGCGAGGAGGUGGCCUUUGAGGGCAGCGCGGGGUCGAAAUCCCAUCCCAGCGCUGUGACCUCUUGGAGCCCACAUUGCCUCUUUGGUGGAGGGGAGGGAGUGGUCCAGCUCCGAGCCGAGCCUGGGAGCUGAAUGACCCAGUGUGCAAGGCGCACCUCGGAGACCGAAAGCAACCGCUCCCCCGGCUUCAAUUUCACACCACCUGCAGAUACACGUCUCAGAAUCUGCGGCUAGGAAGACCUGGGCCGCCAGAAGCUAAACGUGUGCAUUUUGUCAUCAGCCCCGGUUUCUCGUUUUAGAGUGAGUUCCCACCUGCCCUACCUAAACUGACCUGAAACGGAAAGUUGUAUGCCCCCACGACCAUCCUCACUGCAGAACUGCAGAGGGUUUUAAGCUCCUUAUUACCUGUUUCUUAUAAUCCUGUCCCUUUCCAGGCGAGUAUUUAUCGGAUAGUUCUACUUGUUUUAUCAAACUUCCUUUUCUUUUGACUUUAUAAAAAGCAAUGCCGGGAGGCUGAGGCGGGAGAAUCGCUUGAACCCGGGAGGCGGAGGUUGCAGUGAGCUGAGAUCUCGCCAUUGCACUCCAUUCUGGGCAACAAGAGCGAAACUCCGUCUCAAAAAAAAAAAACAAUGUUCGUCCUUAAAAUUAUGUGCAGAAGUUUACUGAAAAGUACAAGUUACUAUUUUUCCUUCUGAAGCACUCCUCACAGGUAACCCCUGUUAGUUUCACAGGUAACCUUAAAAUGCUUAACACAUAUUUGUUGAAUGAAUAAGUGCCCCCCAGUGAAUUUCCUUUGCCUGUACAAACAUAUAUGUACAUACCUUGCUUUUUCUAUUUAACAGUACACUUUUAUCAUUUAACAUCUGCGUGGUAUGGUACUCCAUCCGAUAACCAUCGGAUGUACUAUUAUUUAACCACUCCGCUAUUAAUAGACAUUCAUGCUGUUUAUAUUUUUUGGUUAUAAUAAACAUUGUUGCAGGCGGGAUCAUUGAACAACACAUGGAGUGUCUGACUCAAGCCUUGAGUUGUUUUUCCGGGAGCUGAGAAUCAGUGUGGUGAUAUCGAAAUAACAUGAGCUUGGAAUCUGAAGGUACUGGCUAGGGAGAAGAGCUGCUCAUGUGCUCCCGAUAGAAAGUCCCCCUUGGUCGGGAAGGUUAGGGCCAUCCUCUGACUCAGCAGUUUUAGGAAAUAGAGGGGGAGAAGGAAGGUAUGUACCUUCCUUCCACCAGGGAGGCACGCCCAGCCCUAACCAGCCAGCGAGGCAGUAGGUCCUCCUAGCUCAUCUUCACAACCUGGGCUGGUGUCGGGAAGACUUUCGUUCCAAUGCUAGCUUUGGAAUCCUGGCCUCCAUCCCUUAAAAGCUUUGUGAUCUUAGGUAAGUCACAUCACACUAUCUCAAAGCCCCCGUUUCCUCACAGAAUGGUUGUUUUAGAGUUAUGUUUGUAAAUUACCUGGCACAUGUAGGCAUGUGACAGACUGUAACCAAUGUUACUCAAGGUCAUUUUGCACUGAUUCAUACUUUGAGCCAUUUCCUACUGUAGACUCUAGCACACAUUUUCAAGGCAGCUUCCUGAUAAUAAGGCUGUAGGAUAUUUUUGGGAAAUAAAUCCAAAUUGGCCAUUAAAACCAGAUUCC
ensembl:lncRNA RAB35-AS1 RAB35 antisense RNA 1